rnacentral:rRNA from 1 species
UACAGAGGGUGCGAGCGUUACUCGGAAUUACUGGGCGUAAAGCGUGCGCAGGCGGUUCUAUAAGACAGAUGUGAAAUCCCCGGGCUCAACCUGGGAACUGCAUUUGUGACUGUAGAGCUGGAGUGCGGCAGAGGGGGAUGGAAUUCCGCGUGUAGCAGUGAAAUGCGUAGAUAUGCGGAGGAACACCGAUGGCGAAGGCAAUCCCCUGGGCCUGCACUGACGCUCAUGCACGAAAGCGUGGGGAGCAAACAGG